rnacentral:rRNA from 1 species
GAUGAACGCUGGCGGCGUGCCUAAUACAUGCAAGUCGAGCGAACGGACGAGAAGCUUGCUUCUCUGAUGUUAGCGGCGGACGGGUGAGUAACACGUGGAUAACCUACCUAUAAGACUGGGAUAACUUCGGGAAACCGGAGCUAAUACCGGAUAAUAUUUUGAACCGCAUGGUUCAAAAGUGAAAGACGGUCUUGCUGUCACUUAUAGAUGGAUCCGCGCUGCAUUAGCUAGUUGGUAAGGUAACGGCUUACCAAGGCAACGAUGCAUAGCCGACCUGAGAGGGUGAUCGGCCACACUGGAACUGAGACACGGUCCAGACUCCUACGGGAGGCAGCAGUAGGGAAUCUUCCGCAAUGGGCGAAAGCCUGACGGAGCAACGCCGCGUGGGUGAUGAAGGUCUUCGGAUCGUAAAACUCUGUUAUUAGGGAAGAACAUAUGUGUAAGUAACUGUGCACAUCUUGACGGUACCUAAUCAGAAAGCCACGGCUAACUACGUGCCAGCAGCCGCGGUAAUACGUAGGUGGCAAGCGUUAUCCGGAAUUAUUGGGCGUAAAGCGCGCGUAGGCGGUUUUUUAAGUCUGAUGUGAAAGCCCACGGCUCAACCGUGGAGGGUCAUUGGAAACUGGAAAACUUGAGUGCAGAAGAGGAAAGUGGAAUUCCAUGUGUAGCGGUGAAAUGCGCAGAGAUAUGGAGGAACACCAGUGGCGAAGGCGACUUUCUGGUCUGUAACUGACGCUGAUGUGCGAAAGCGUGGGGAUCAAACAGGAUUAGAUACCCUGGUAGUCCACGCCGUAAACGAUGAGUGCUAAGUGUUAGGGGGUUUCCGCCCCUUAGUGCUGCAGCUAACGCAUUAAGCACUCCGCCUGGGGAGUACGACCGCAAGGUUGAAACUCAAAGGAAUUGACGGGGACCCGCACAAGCGGUGGAGCAUGUGGUUUAAUUCGAAGCAACGCGAAGAACCUUACCAAAUCUUGACAUCCUUUGACAACUCUAGAGAUAGAGCUUUCCCCUUCGGGGGACAAAGUGACAGGUGGUGCAUGGUUGUCGUCAGCUCGUGUCGUGAGAUGUUGGGUUAAGUCCCGCAACGAGCGCAACCCUUAAGCUUAGUUGCCAUCAUUAAGUUGGGCACUCUAAGUUGACUGCCGGUGACAAACCGGAGGAAGGUGGGGAUGACGUCAAAUCAUCAUGCCCCUUAUGAUUUGGGCUACACACGUGCUACAAUGGACAAUACAAAGGGCAGCGAAACCGCGAGGUCAAGCAAAUCCCAUAAAGUUGUUCUCAGUUCGGAUUGUAGUCUGCAACUCGACUACAUGAAGCUGGAAUCGCUAGUAAUCGUAGAUCAGCAUGCUACGGUGAAUACGUUCCCGGGUCU